AUUGAACGCUGGCGGCAGGCCUAACACAUGCAAGUCGAGCGGAGCGGCGGACGGGUGAGUAAUGCCUAGGACUCUGCCUGUUAGUGGGGGAUAACGUCCGGAACCGGGCGCUAAUACCGCAUACUCUCAGCUGAGCCUAGGUCGGAUUAGCUAGUUGGUGGGGUACAGGCCUACCAAGGCGACGAUCCGUAACUGGUCUGAGUGGAUGAUCAGUCACACUGCAACGGAGACACGGACCAGAAUCCUACGGGAGGCAGCAGUGGGGAAUAUUGGACAAUGGGCGAAAGCCUGAUCCAGCCAUGCCGCGUGUGUGAAGAAGGUCUUCGGAUUGUAAAGCACUUUAAGUUGGGAGGCGUUACCCACAGAAGAAGCACCGGCUAACUUCGUGCCAGCAGCCGCGGUAAUAC
rnacentral:rRNA from 1 species